CAGUAGCCGCGGUAAUACGUAGGUCCCGAGCGUUGUCCGGAUUUAUUGGGCGUAAAGCGAGCGCAGGCGGUUAGAUAAGUCUGAAGUUAAAGGCUGUGGCUUAACCAUAGUACGCUUUGGAAACUGUUUAACUUGAGUGCAAGAGGGGAGAGUGGAAUUCCAUGUGUAGCGGUGAAAUGCGUAGAUAUAUGGAGGAACAUCGGUGGCGAAAGCGGCUCUCUGGCUUGUAACUGACGCUGAGGCUCGAAAGCGUGGGGAGCAAACAGGAUUAGAUACCCCUGUAGUCCCUGUCUCUUAUACA
rnacentral:rRNA from 1 species